AUUAGUACUUUCAAUAUGUAAAACUCGCCAACUGCCCAUUUAAUCGAAAUAUGACCGUCCGCAAUCGCGGAAGCAGAGGAAACUUUUACAGCGCUUCGUCGGUCACUAUAGACAGGAUUUGAUAUGGGUGAUUCUCGGGGCAGUUUUAUUUCUAGUGAGCGGCUACUAUACCCUCCAACAUUUCGGAUACACCCGGUUCUCGCUGGAUAAAUUUCCCGACAGAAUCACCUCAGGAGUUCUGAAAGGAUGGUUGGCUAUCGUCAAUGCUUGUGUAUUCAUAAUAGAUGCUAUGAUGGGGCUUGAUAUAAUUUAAAAUGACCGAAAAAAUGUAAUAUAAUUCAAAAACAGAUUUAUACAAAAACUAUUCAAAAAAUUUAGGAGGCACAUCACUCUGAGACAAUGCAGAUAAAAAUACCGCUGGAAUUAUUCAGUGAUCAUAGUUGAUUUUAAAAUGUUGCCUUAAUUUUUUAAUCAUCGGCACACUCCUGCCUCCUGAUGACGAAUAAAAAUGGUGUUCUUGAAAGUAAAGGGAUAACAAGUAUUAUUACGUAGCAAUUAGUAUACAAUCAACUGAAUUAUUGUAUAUUUCUGGCAGAGGGACUAAACAAUCGGUACAAACGUUUCUGCUUCAUGAAAUUGGACUACAUUUUGCAAUUAGUAACUAUAAAUUCCGGCCUGGCUCAGAAACAACGCAUGUGCUAUUAGUUUCCCUAUGCACAUACGUGUUUUUUCAGAUGAGACAGAAUUUAUGGCUGCAAAUUGCAAAAUGCUGUCCAAUUAUUUAAAGUAUAUUUUUCACGAGCGGAAGCUGCGUACCAGUGCUACGAAAAAUCUUCAUUAGAGUCAUAGAGUCAAAACGGAAGAAAAACCAACAGCAGAAAAAUAAUAUUUUUGAACUUAUAAAGAUUUGAGCCAAAUAUUAUACAUCCGUCAUACAAACAGUGUCAAAAUCCGUAUUAUAAUCAUUUAUACGAUUUUCGCACUGAUUCAAACUAACCUUUUCUCUGGGAAAUGUCGCAGUCACCCUGACUUGUCGUUAAUAAUAAAUUUCAUUGGUUCGUAAAUUGUAAGUGAAGUAUUCAUCUGAUUUUUUUCAAAUUAUCGAUGAGCUAUCUUCAUUACUUCUGUCUUUGACAUAUUUAGGAAUCAUUACUAGUAUAGGGGUAGACAAAUUCUGUAUUGUUAGGUAUUUUGACUUCUAUGAGCAUCCGUAAUAGAAAAAAAGAAAUGAGUGAUUUCUAUUGAGAUAUCGUAAAGAUAAAAGAUGACACCUUUGAAAAGAGGAGCUUUAAUUAUUACAAAAAGGAAGAUAGAGAAAGGAGCAAUGAACGCAAAGGAAAAGAAUGAGGGAAAAAUGCAUGAACUUAAUUUGCUAAAAACGAUACGUAUUUGAACACGUGUUAGGAGGCAAUGAAAAUCGAAUUUAUACUGUAUCAUAAAAAUACUGAAUAUUUUAAUUAAAUAAAACUGUUGCAUCUAUGAA